UCCAACCAAGGUCUGCCAGUUUGGAGGUUAUAAAAUAGUAUUGUUCUCUCUGCAGACCUCACCCUAAUUUGCCUGAGGGUGUUCGCAUCAAAAAUGGCUUGUCCUCUCUGUAACUAUUUCCUCCCAACCCUGCUUUCCUGCCCCUUCCCAGGCUUGGCCAAAUAUGGAUAAAUAUGAGCUAUACCAGAAGCUGGAUCUUCCCAAGGGUCAGAAGCGCAAGGUGAAGGAUUGCCUGAAAGCCGACGUCGGAGACCCCUACGCACUCGACCUCAUCGACAAGCUGCUGGUGCUGGAUCCCGCCCAGCGGAUUGACAGCAAUGAUGCGCUGAACCACGACUUCUUCUGGUCCGACCCCAUGCCCUCGGACCUCAAAAACAUGCUGUCCACCCACAACCAGUCCAUGUUUGAGUACCUGGCCCCACCGCGCAGGAGGGGUGGGCGCAUGGCCCAGCAGCCAUUCCAAGGCAGGAACCCGGCCGCCACCAACCAGACUGAAUUCGACAGAGUGUUUUGAGUGGGGCCUUCCCCAGCGGGGUCCCAGCUGGGCUAAUCCACAGGCUGCAUUCAGCGGGGAUGUCCUGGCAAGGUCUUUCUGUCUGGGAAAGGACUUUCUUCAAGGCGAAGCGCCUGCUGGCUUUAACUCGGCUCUGACAUCUCGUGUGGCAGCUCAGCCACCACGGAGCUGCUACAGAAGCCCUGCCACUUUGACUACGCUGUCUUCUGCCCCAACUUCACGGAGGUGCCCAUGGCCAGCAAUGCAGACCAGCAAAACUUCAACGUGACGCUGGAGAACUCCCUGACCCGCUGCCUGGAGAACCAGCGGACGUGGACCCGGCUACUGGAGGAAAAGGAGGGGCAGGACCCCUGGCUCCCAGCCCCC